rnacentral:rRNA from 1 species
GACGAACGCUGGCGGCGUGCUUAACACAUGCAAGUCGAACGGAAAGGCCCUGCUUUUGUGGGGUGCUCGAGUGGCGAACGGGUGAGUAACACGUGAGUAACCUGCCCUUGACUUUGGGAUAACUUCAGGAAACUGGGGCUAAUACCGGAUAGGAGCUCCUGCUGCAUGGUGGGGGUUGGAAAGUUUCGGCGGUUGGGGAUGGACUCGCGGCUUAUCAGCUUGUUGGUGGGGUAGUGGCUUACCAAGGCUUUGACGGGUAGCCGGCCUGAGAGGGUGACCGGCCACAUUGGGACUGAGAUACGGCCCAGACUCCUACGGGAGGCAGCAGUGGGGAAUAUUGCACAAUGGGCGGAAGCCUGAUGCAGCGACGCCGCGUGCGGGAUGACGGCCUUCGGGUUGUAAACCGCUUUCGCCUGUGACGAAGCGUGAGUGACGGUAAUGGGUAAAGAAGCACCGGCUAACUACGUGCCAGCAGCCGCGGUGAUACGUAGGGUGCGAGCGUUGUCCGGAUUUAUUGGGCGUAAAGGGCUCGUAGGUGGUUGAUCGCGUCGGAAGUGUAAUCUUGGGGCUUAACCCUGAGCGUGCUUUCGAUACGGGUUGACUUGAGGAAGGUAGGGGAGAAUGGAAUUCCUGGUGGAGCGGUGGAAUGCGCAGAUAUCAGGAGGAACACCAGUGGCGAAGGCGGUUCUCUGGGCCUUUCCUGACGCUGAGGAGCGAAAGCGUGGGGAGCGAACAGGCUUAGAUACCCUGGUAGUCCACGCUGUAAACGGUGGGUACUAGGUGUGGGGUCCAUUCCACGGGUUCCGUGCCGUAGCUAACGCUUUAAGUACCCCGCCUGGGGAGUACGGCCGCAAGGCUAAAACUCAAAGGAAUUGACGGGGCCCCGCACAAGCGGCGGAGCAUGCGGAUUAAUUCGAUGCAACGCGUAGAACCUUACCUGGGUUUGACAUGGAUCGGGAGUGCUCAGAGAUGGGUGUGCCUCUUUUGGGGUCGGUUCACAGGUGGUGCAUGGCUGUCGUCAGCUCGUGUCGUGAGAUGUUGGGUUAAGUCCCGCAACGAGCGCAACCCUUGUUCACUGUUGCCAGCACGUUAUGGUGGGGACUCAGUGGAGACCGCCGGGGUCAACUCGGAGGAAGGUGGGGAUGACGUCAAGUCAUCAUGCCCCUUAUGUCCAGGGCUUCACGCAUGCUACAAUGGCUGGUACAGAGAGUGGCGAGCCUGUGAGGGUGAGCGAAUCUCGGAAAGCCGGUCUCAGUUCGGAUUGGGGUCUGCAACUCGACCUCAUGAAGUCGGAGUCGCUAGUAAUCGCAGAUCAGCAACGCUGCGGUGAAUACGUUCCCGGGGGC